UUUUUUUGUCAUUCUCUCUUUCUGUCUACCCCUCCCACCCUGUCUUUCUUUCGCUCUCUCAUUCUUUCUCUUCAUUUGGCUCCCUUACUAACGCGAUCUCUUUAUCCACCCAAUUCACAGCUCCCUAUCCCCACUCUAGGCGAUUUUCUUUAAGUAAACACGUGCCAGGCCAUCUUCCAGUCGAGCACACUUGAUUAUUUUCUUAAAAAGUUCGAAAAAUUGGCUGUCUGACCUAAAUAGUCUUAUUGGAUAAAUGCGCUUACAUAUAUAAACUGUCACUGGCAUAAAUAAAAUUGCAAAAUUUCCGAGAAAGAAAAGUCCUUGACUAUAGCAUCAUGCGGCUUUUUGGUGCUUAUUUUUAUGAGCCAUAAAUAUGGCCGGAGAAAGUCGAGCAAAAGUGUAAAUGCAUAUAUAAUGCCAUUUAUUUAUUGCAGUGCAAUUUGUUGACUCCUCUGUUAUCUCUUAUUUGUGUAAAUAUUUGGUUGCCAUGACUCGACUGAAAAGCUUGACUGCAAUAGAAAAGUGCCCACUUAGACGUGUGGCACCCGUGAUAACAGGGCACGGAAAUCCUAGCCUCGACAAUUGUCUCUGUCUGCGUUCCCCGACAACCCCCAAAGGUGGCGUCGCCUUUGUGGGUGCAGUUCCUGUUUAAACAGCGCCACAACCACAAAGGAAAACAACCCUUAGCUGACUGUGGCUGAAGAAGGCUAAAAGAGUUCACGUGUGCACUUAGUGUUUGACUUUAAAGCUGAAGCUUCAUGCUUUUUACACCCAUUUAUCAUUGUUUACUUCAGCUAGAUUUUUAAAUUUUUUAUAUGCUGAUUUAUUAUCAUAGCAAGAAAUUUGCCAAAGAAAUAUUUUUGAGUAUA